GUGGGGAAUUUUGGACAAUGGGCGCAAGCCUGAUCCAGCAAUGCCGCGUGCAGGAAGAAGGCCUUCGGGUUGUAAACUGCUUUUGUACGGAACGAAACGGUCCGGGUUAAUACCCUGGGCUAAUGACGGUACCGUAAGAAUAAGCACCGGCUAACUACGUGCCAGCAGCCGCGGUAAUACGUAGGGUGCAAGCGUUAAUCGGAAUUACUGGGCGUAAAGCGUGCGCAGGCGGUUUUGUAAGACAGGCGUGAAAUCACCGGGCUCAACCGGGGAAUUGCGCUUGUGACUGCAAGGCUGGAGUGCGGCAGAGGGGGAUGGAAUUCCGCGUGUAGCAGUGAAAUGCGUAGAUAUGUGGAGGAACACCGAUGGCGAAGGCAAUCCCCUGGGCCUGCACUGACGCUCAUGCACGAAAGCGUGGGGAGCAAACAGGAUUAGAAACCCUUGUAGUCC
rnacentral:rRNA from 1 species